rnacentral:rRNA from 1 species
CCUACGGGGGGCAGCAGUGGGGAAUAUUGCACAAUGGGGGCAACUCUGAUGCAGCGACGCCGCGUGCGUGAAGACGUAUUUCGGUAUGUAAAGCUCUGUCAGCAGGGAAGAAAAUGGCGGUACCUGACCAAGAAGCCCCGGCUAACUACGUGCCAGCAGCCGCGGUAAUACGUAGGGGGCAAGCGUUAUCCGGAUUUACUGGGUGUAAAGGGAGCGUAGACGGCAGGGCAAGUCUGGAGUGAAAGGCGGGGGCUCAACCCCCGGACUGCUCGGGAAACUGCCAGGCUGGAGUGCAGGGGAGGUAAGUGGAAUUCCUAGUGUAGCGGUGAAAUGCGUAGAUAUUAGGAGGAACACCAGUGGCGAAGGCGGCUUACUGGACUGUAACUGACGUUGAGGCUCGAAAGCGUGGGGAGCAAACAGGAUUAGAUACCCUUGUAGUC